rnacentral:rRNA from 1 species
AGUACCGUGAGGGAAAGUUGAAAAGCACUUUGAAAAGAGAGUGCAAGAGAACGUGAAAUCGAUAUAAUGGAAGCGAAUGAAGUCGGCGUAUCUGGUACGUAUUCAGGUGUUGCGUUGGGCAAUCGUUUGGCUGUAAUAUUCCGCAAGGUUAUUCGGUUGAAUGUUUGUUGUUCAAUGUUGGCACUGCACUUGCGUACGGAGUGCGACGAGGCGGUUGAUCACGUYGGUUGAAAUUAUUCAAGGGAGCAGUACGCUUCGGUGUGCUGAAUUUUUGAAUAAUGGACGCUGAUUGGGGUCGUCCGGUUCACGAAAAACGAGUUGGCCUUGAGCGUUCGUGUUGCGAGUUUUUGUAUGAUUUUACGUUGAGCGCAUGCGUUCCGCGUUUAAUUGUGCGGAGAUUUGUUGCAUUUGAACACAAUUCGUUUUUACAUCGUCGUAUAGUCGAUCACUCAUUCGACCCGUCUUGAAACACGGACCAAGGAGUUUACAGUACACGCAAGGCAUUGGGUUUAAGUCGAAACCAAAAAGCCGAAAUGAAAGUGAAACCACUCAGUUGGUUGUGAACACGAUCGGCAAUUCGUACGUUAAAAAUACGAUUGUCGCGCAGUGUUGCCCCAUUCCUGGAGCUUGCUCUGGUGUGGAGGUUGAGCGUGUGCAGUGAGACCCGAAAGAUGGUGAACUAUGCCUGAACAGGAUGAAGUCAGAGGAAACUCUGAUGGAAGUCCGAAGCGGUUCUGACGUGCAAAUCGAUCGUCUGAUUUUGGUAUAGGGGCGAAAGACUAAUCGAACCAUCUAGUAGC